rnacentral:rRNA from 1 species
UACAGAGGUCCCAAGCGUUGUUCGGAUUCACUGGGCGUAAAGGGUGCGUAGGUGGUCGGAUAAGUUUGAUGUGAAAUCUCCGGGCUUAACCCGGAAACUGCAUUGAAUACUAUCUGGCUGGAGGGUUGGAGGGGGGACUGGAAUUCUUGGUGUAGCAGUGAAAUGCGUAGAUAUCAAGAGGAACACCAGUGGCGAAGGCGAGUCCCUGGACAACUCCUGACACUGAGGCACGAAAGCGUGGGGAGCAAAAGGG